CCAAAUUCUUUUAUUCCCUGGAGUCCAUUCUGAGUCAGUGGCACUCCCAGGGGUCAGUGACACGGGUGUCCAGACUCUGCAGUUUCGGGGAGCAGCUCUGUUGUUGUGGCCUAUUAGGGCUGAGGCCUUUAGUGCUGAACCCCUUUAGCCCUUGAUUAAAGAGUGAUUUUGACUAUUUAAUAGUUCUGUGUUUUUUCUAGUUGACAUUAAUGGAGGUCCCACCGAGAUCCGAAGUCCCGGCUGCCUGAGCCCUCCUGCUAACGAGGACCCCGAGACUUGAGGUACCUUAGCAAGGGCCAGAAUCUUAGCAGUCGACAUCAAGCACCACGAAAAAUUCUGACCUUCAGAGCUGGUUGGACCUGUCUCUUUGGGCUGAAGAAAAUGGCAGCACCUCUAACCUUAGACUGGGAAGAACAAGCUCCUCCCACAUCCACAGCCUGA
rnacentral:lncRNA from 1 species